rnacentral:rRNA from 1 species
GACGAACGCUGGCGGCGUGCUUAACACAUGCAAGUCGAACGGAAAGGCCCUGCUUGCAGGGUACUCGAGUGGCGAACGGGUGAGUAACACGUGGGUGAUCUGCCCUGCACUUCGGGAUAAGCCUGGGAAACUGGGUCUAAUACCGGAUAGGAGCCAUUUUUAGUGUGAUGGUUGGAAAGUUUUUUUCGGUGUAGGAUGAGCUCGCGGCCUAUCAGCUUGUUGGUGGGGUAAUGGCCUACCAAGGCGGCUACGGGUAGCCGGCCGGAGAGGGUGGACGGCCACAUUGGGACUGAGAUGCGGCCCAGACUCCUACGGGAGGCAGCAGUGGGGAAUAUUGCACAAGGGGCGCAAGCCUGAUGCAGCGACGCCGCGGGGGGGAUGACGGCCUUCGGGUUGCAAACUCCUUUCGCUAGGGACGAAGCUUUUUGUGACGGUACCUAGAGAAGAAGCACCGGCUAACUACGUG